rnacentral:rRNA from 1 species
AACGAACGCUGGCGGCAUGCCUAACACAUGCAAGUCGAGCGAGACCUUCGGGUCUAGUGGCGCACGGGUGCGUAACCCGUCGGAACCUGCCCUUAGGUUCGGAAUAACUCCCCGAAAGGGGUGCUAAUACCGGAUAAUGUCUUCGGACCAAAGAUUUAUCGCCUUUGGUUGGGCCCGCGUUGGAUUAGCUAGUUGGUAGGGUAAUAGCCUACCAAGGCGACGAUCCAUAGCUGGUCUGAGAGGAUGAUCAGCCACACUGGGACUGAGACACGGCCCAGACUCCUACGGGAGGCAGCAGUGGGGAAUAUUGGACAAUGGGCGAAAGCCUGAUCCAGCAAUGCCGCGUGAGUGAUGAAGGCCUUAGGGUUGUAAAGCUCUUUUACCCGGGAUGAUAAUGACAGUACCGGGAGAAUAAGCUCCGGCUAACUCCGUG